rnacentral:rRNA from 1 species
UACGUAGGGACCGAGCGUUGUCCGGAAUCAUUGGGCGUAAAGAGCGUGUAGGCGGCUAUUUAAGUCCUGCGUGAAAUCCUGCGGCUCAACCGCAGACGGUCGUGGGAAACUGGAUGGCUAGAGUGCGGGAGAGGAGAGUGGAAUUCCCGGUGUAGCGGUGAAAUGCGCAGAUAUCGGGAAGAACACCGGUGGCGAAGGCGGCCUGCUGGGCAGUAGCUGACACUGAGGCGCGACAGCGUGGGGAGCAAACAGG